rnacentral:rRNA from 1 species
CCUACGGGGUGCAGCAGUGAGGAAUAUUGGUCAAUGGACGAGAGUCUGAACCAGCCAAGUAGCGUGAAGGAUGACUGCCCUAUGGGUUGUAAACUUCUUUUAUAUGGGAAUAAAAUGUUCCACGUGUGGGAUUUUGUAUGUACCAUAUGAAUAAGGAUCGGCUAACUCCGUGCCAGCAGCCGCGGUAAUACGGAGGAUCCGAGCGUUAUCCGGAGUUAUUGGGUUUAAAGGGAGCGUAGGUGGAUUGUUAAGUCAGUUGUGAAAGUUUGCGGCUCAACCGUAAAAUUGCAGUUGAAACUGGCAGUCUUGAGUACAGUAGAGGUGGGCGGAAUUCGUGGUGUAGCGGUGAAAUGCUUAGAUAUCACGAAGAACUCCGAUUGCGAAGGCAGUUCACUGGACUGCAACUGACACUGAGGCUCGAAAGUGUGGGUAUCAAACAGGAUUAGAUACCCUUGUAGUC